rfam:Ictidomys tridecemlineatus contig025064, whole genome shotgun sequence.
UGGGUUGUGGCUCAGUGGUAGAGCACUCGCCUUUCACGUGCGAGACCCUGAGUUCGAUCCUCAGCAUCACAU